GGCACUAUAGUGUAGUGGUUAUCACUCGGGAUUUUGAAGCGAUUUCCCGAAACCCAGGUUCGAACCCUGGUAGCGCCU
rnacentral:tRNA from 1 species